rnacentral:rRNA from 1 species
AUUGAACGCUGGCGGCAUGCCUUACACAUGCAAGUCGAACGGUAACAGGUCUUCGGAUGCUGACGAGUGGCGAACGGGUGAGUAAUACAUCGGAACGUGCCCGAUCGUGGGGGAUAACGAAGCGAAAGCUUUGCUAAUACCGCAUACGAUCUACGGAUGAAAGCAGGGGACCGCAAGGCCUUGCGCGAACGGAGCGGCCGAUGGCAGAUUAGGUAGUUGGUGGGAUAAAAGCUUACCAAGCCGACGAUCUGUAGCUGGUCUGAGAGGACGACCAGCCACACUGGGACUGAGACACGGCCCAGACUCCUACGGGAGGCAGCAGUGGGGAAUUUUGGACAAUGGGCGAAAGCCUGAUCCAGCCAUGCCGCGUGCAGGAUGAAGGCCUUCGGGUUGUAAACUGCUUUUGUACGGAACGAAAAGACUCUGGUUAAUACCUGGGGUCCAUGACGGUACCGUAAGAAUAAGCACCGGCUAACUACGUGCCAGCAGCCGCGGUAAUACGUAGGGUGCAAGCGUUAAUCGGAAUUACUGGGCGUAAAGCGUGCGCAGGCGGUUAUAUAAGACAGAUGUGAAAUCCCCGGGCUCAACCUGGGAACUGCAUUUGUGACUGUAUAGCUAGAGUACGGCAGAGGGGGAUGGAAUUCCGCGUGUAGCAGUGAAAUGCGUAGAUAUGCGGAGGAACACCGAUGGCGAAGGCAUCCCCUGGGCCUGUACUGACGCUCAUGCACGAAAGCGUGGGGAGCAAACAGG